rnacentral:lncRNA from 1 species
CCUGUGAUAUGGCUAACCCUUUAGUUACAUUCAACUCUGUAAUGUUAAAACUCUGCAGCACUUCCCAACAAGACAUCUCUUUUUCAGUUUCCUGUGGGCCGCAUCCACAGACACUUGAAGACUCGCACCACAAGCCAUGGACGGGUGGGCGCCACUGCUGCUGUGUACAGUGCUGCAAUUCUGGAGUACCUCACAGCUGAGGUGUUGGAGUUGGCAGGUAAUGCUUCUAAAGAUCUCAAAGUAAAGCGCAUCACCCCACGUCACUUACAGCUUGCAAUCCGAGGUGACGAAGAGUUGGAUUCACUGAUCAAGGCUACCAUAGCCGGGGGCGGUGUGAUUCCGCACAUCCACAAGUCUCUGAUCGGAAAGAAGGGGCAGCAGAAAACUGCUUAGGACGUGAGUCACUGACCUGCUGUCCUCACUGUGUGUGACUGGGCAGAGGGUACCAGUCGGUGUGUGGGAAAGCAUAGACAAUUGCUGUAGACAGAAGACACAUUUGUAUGUUUUUAGACUCUCGAAGUUUGAUAAACUCCUUUCCCUGUGGUCAGUCAUGUGUUGACUGGCCAGGUCUCUCCCUUGUGUUUUAUACAAAAAUAGAAUUGAUAAACAUUUUUUACAAAAGG